rnacentral:rRNA from 1 species
GACGAACGCUGGCGGCGUGCUUAACACAUGCAAGUCGAACGAUGAACCCGGAGCUUGCUCCGGCGGAUUAGUGGCGAACGGGUGAGUAACACGUGAGUAACCUGCCCUUGACUCUGGGAUAACUGCUAGAAAUGGUAGCUAAUACCGGAUACGACCCUCGGUGGCAUCACCAGGGGGUGGAAAGAAUUUCGGUCAAGGAUGGACUCGCGGCCUAUCAGCUAGUUGGUGAGGUAACGGCUCACCAAGGCGACGACGGGUAGCCGGCCUGAGAGGGGGAACGGCCACACUCGGACUGAGACACGGCCCAGACUCCAACGGGAGGCAGCAGUAGGGAAUAUUGCACAGUAGGCGCAAGCCUGAUGCAGCAACGACGCGUGAGGGAUGACGGCCUUCGGGUUGUAAACCUCUUUUAGUAGGGAAGAAGCGAAAGUGACGGUACCUGCAGAAAAAGCACCGGCUAACUACGUGCCAGCCGCCGCAGUAA